AGUACUUCCAAAAUUGGGGAUUCUGAGGCCUGGGAAUAGGUGUAUUAACAUCAUCUAUUAUCAGUGCCAUAUUUGAGACUGAACUGCCUUAUUUUAAAAAAUCUUUAUGGUCAUUUUAGCUCUCCAUAAGAUUCUGCCAGUAUGUAUCAAACAUGACCUUGGAAUGUCUAUGGCUGAAUAAAGGGAUAGUUCAAUCUCUGUGUGUAUUCAGUCAUUCUCCACUGACUGGAUGGGCCUGGAGAGUCAGCAUGUCUUCCAGUUCUAGAAGAGACUGUUAUAACAGAGUUUAAAAAAUGUUGGUAGCAAAGUGAGAGAAAAUAUGUACUACUGAUGCUCAGACUAUACUAGGGUUGUUGUUAGAAGGCUUAUAGUAUUUGAAACUGAAAUCUGGCAUCUUUCACACGUACUGUUUUUAAGUGCACAUUCCAAGUCUUAGUGUGACUGGUAGUUUUGUACUGUAUUGGUAAUAUAGACAAUUUAAUCAAGCCUUUAAUUAGCCAACACUCUGUUUUGCUAAAAUAGAGUUAAAUACCAGCAGCCGUACACAGGGGAAUUUAGUUACAGUAUAACUCCCCUUUUAGAGUACGUCUAAGCUGCACUCUCUUUGCGGUGGCCUGUAGGAUACAUACAUUGCAAGUCCCGCUAGCAUGGGUGUAAAUAGUAGUGUAUGUGGUGAGGCACUGCUAAGUGGAGUAAAGAUCCCCGUGAAUCCUUAGAAUAUGUACUCUACACAGCUCAGAACAUGACCCUCCCCCUCCCAUUGUUUUUGUCUUGCUGCCUCCCUGCUGCCAGUCUUUCCCUGCUGCAGGGAGCUGUGGGGGAAAGCUCUGGCAGGGUGUGACAGCGGGAGCCUUUCCCCACUGCAUCCCCCACUGAUGCAUGUGGCUAUGCACCAAAGUGUGAAUGCAGCUCACUUUUUUUCUGUGGCAUAUAACUAUCCAUACUCUAUAUGCGCACACCCCUAGUGGUGUGCAAUAUAGACAUAGCCUAGGGUCUGAUCCAGCUCCCACUGAAAGUUAGAGGGCGUUGGAUUGAACCCAAAGGACACAAUCCAGAAAGACGCUGAAUGCAUCUUCAUUAGUGCUGGGUAUCUUCAACUCCAGUUUACUUUAGAGGGUGGUUAGGACACUCAUUACUUAGUGGGAUUGGGACUAAAAUGAAGUAAAAGUACAGAAUUGCUUUAAUGUAUUUCAAUUGACUUUUUUAAUUUCUUUAAGCUGAAUGAAGAGUCACUAUUGGUAUUUAAUUGUAGUAUAGUUGGGACUGUGCUAAUUCCCUCCAAUUAGUUUUGAAGAGCUGUAUUCAAAAAGGAUUAUUUUUUACUUCCCCAUUGCCUCUCUUCUGGCUGAUUAUGGAGAGGAAAGAAUUUGCCACAAUACUGUUGUGGUAGAGGGGUAAUGAGAAAUCCCUGGCUUCUGAUCUUGCUGCAGCUGCUCCUAGAGGGGAGUGAAGAGGAGCCAGGAUGGUCUUGAUAGAACUAUCUGAGGCUGGAAGUGAAGAUAGGGCCUUCCAGGGGCCCUUUACAGCUGCCAGUGUCCUCUGCAACUGGGGAUGAAGAAAGGCUCUGUUACCACUUCCUGAGGUGAAACGAAGGGGGUUGGUAGGGACUUUUGCCAGGGUGCCAUGCCUUGAUUUGGGCAAGCUGGGAUCUUCAGAUGAAGAGGAUGGAGAUUCUUACAUACCAUACAGUAAGAGGUUUCCUCGCAUUGGCCCUCCAGAUUCAUCUUCAACUGUUAGUUGGGGUUCACCAAUACAGACUCCUUAUGCACAGCAUCAUCAGACACAACAGGUC